CGCGUAGGCGGUUUGUUUAGUUAGGCGUGAAAUUCCUGGGCUUAACCUGGGGACUGCGCUUAAUACAGGCAGACUUGAGUUCGGAAGAGGGUCGUGGAAUUCCCAGUGUAAGAGGUGAAAUUCGUAGAUAUUGGGAAGAACACCGGUGGCGAAGGCGGCGACCUGGUCCGAUACUGACGCUGAGGCGCGAAAGCGUGGGGAGCAAACA
rnacentral:rRNA from 1 species